rnacentral:rRNA from 1 species
UGGGGAAUAUUGGACAAUGGGCGCAAGCCUGAUCCAGCCAUGCCGCGUGAGUGAUGAAGGCCUUAGGGUUGUAAAGCUCUUUCGCCGGUGAAGAUAAUGACGGUAACCGGAGAAGAAGCCCCGGCUAACUUCGUGCCAGCAGCCGCGGUAAUACGAAGGGGGCUAGCGUUGCUCGGAAUCACUGGGCGUAAAGCGCACGUAGGCGGAUCGUUAAGUCAGGGGUGAAAUCCUGGAGCUCAACUCCAGAACUGCCCUUGAUACUGGCGAUCUCGAGUUCGAGAGAGGUUGGUGGAACUCCGAGUGUAGAGGUGAAAUUCGUAGAUAUUCGGAAGAACACCAGUGGCGAAGGCGGCCAACUGGCUCGAUACUGACGCUGAGGUGCGAAAGCGUGGGGAGCAAAACAGGAUUAGAUACCCUGGUAGUCCACGCCGUAAACGAUGGAUGCUAGCCGUUGGGGGGUUUACCUCUCAGUGGCGCAGCUAACGCCUUAAGCAUCCCGCCUGGGGAGUACGGUCGCAAGAUUAAAAACUCAAAUGAAUUGACGGGGUCAUAGCUGUUUUCCU